rnacentral:pre_miRNA from 1 species
UACGGCUCUACAAGCCGGGGAUGAUGAAACAAAACUAUCUCUUCCUUGAAGAGUCGUACC